CUUUGAUCUAUUUAGCAUUUGAGGUUUUGAAUUUGAAAAGCGCUUUUUAGAAAAAUUAUCAUUUUAAAAAGUAGUUUGAAAAAACUGUUUUGUUAUUUUGGUAUUCUUAUGCUAAAAUAUGUCAUUUAUUUUUAUAUUAAAUUUUAAUACUCUAUAACCAAUAUAUUUAAGAAAGUAUUUUUCUCAAUAGCAGUUCUAAUAGUAAUGCCAAAUAGAUUUGACCUUUUCAUUUUAUAGUGUAACACUGCCACAUAUUAAAUUGGUCAGAGAUAUGAUAGGAUUCCGAUAUGAGAGACUUUUAUGUAACUUUUUUUUUUUUAAGUUGAGGAACUUUUAAGUAACAUUUUUUAAGUUGGGGGAUUUUAUGGUAACAAAAUAAAGAUGAGGAAUGAAAAUGUAAUGAACUCUAAAUUUAAGGGAUGAUUGAUAAAAAUUAGCCUAAAAGAAGGGAAGAAAAUUGGAAUGAAUUGCUUGAUUAUUCCCUCAAGUUGUUGGGAUUUUGUAUAGGAAAACAUGGAACUAUUAUAAUCAAUAUCAACAAUUACUCUUGUGAUUUGUGCAUGAUUGUAUCACUUAAUAUUCUACAUAAUUCUAGCCUAAAAUACAUAAUACAAUCCCUUAAUCCUAAGCUAGAGUAUGCACAUCAAAUGCGCCCCAACUUGUUGCAAAUGUAAUUAAUCCGAGAUCCUUUAAGGGAUUUAGUGAGGAUGUCUGCCAAGUGGCCAUUUGAAUUCAAAAAACUAGUAGUUAUACUUCCUAACUUGAUCUUCUGUAUGAUAAAAUGAUGACGUACUCUGUUUUUCCUCUAUCUUCUUUCUCUUCUCCUACUCUGUUUAAAAUGAAUAUUAACAAAAUUUUAACUUUUUUAUUGAGGAUGUAUGGUCUGAUUAUGUGU
rnacentral:misc_RNA from 1 species